rnacentral:rRNA from 1 species
CACGGAUCCGAAUGGACCGUCUGUGUAGGUCUUCUUCUCGGAACUGUCGCAUUUCCCAGCAGUGUGCGUCAACGGCUGUUGGAACCGGGUGAUAAGCUCCGCAAGAAGGUAGCUGGCUUCCCGCUGGUGUUAUAGCUUGUGGCGUGCAAGCCCGGAUCCCACAGAGGAGUCGCGGCACAUGCUCUUUACUGGGCUGGCCUCUCCUUUNCUCAGCUCGUUUUCNACCAUAGUGGACUGCACGCAGUGCACUUGAACCGAGGCGGACUGUCGGAAGGAUGAGUGCACACACUGUGCCAAGGUGGUUGGCGGUCAUAUGAUUUCAUACGACCCGUCUUGAAACACGGACCAAGGAGUCUAACAUGUGUGCGAGUCUUANGGUGAUCGAAACCCGCAGGCAUAAUGAAAGUAAAGGCUGCUUGCAGCUGAAGUGAGAUCUCUUCCUAACGGGGGAGCGCAUCAUUGACCGACCUAUUCUACUCCUAGAAAGGUUUGAGUAAGAGCAUAUCUGUUGGGACCCGAAAGAUGGUGAACUAUGCUUGAGUAGGGCGAAACCAGAGGAAACUCUGGUGGAGGCUCGUAGCGAUUCUGACGUGCAAAUCGAUCGUCAAAUUUGAGUAUAGGGGCGAAAGACUAAUCGAACCAUCUAGUAGCUGGUUCCCUCCGAAGUUUCCCUUAGGAUAGCUGGAACUCGGAACAGUUUUAUCAGGUAAAGCGAAUGAUUAGAGGUCUUAGGGUUGAAACAACCUUAACCUAUUCUCAAACUUUAAAUUGGUAAGAAGCCCGACUUGCUCAAUUGAAGUAGGGCACAGAAUGAGAGUUCUUAGUGGGCCAUUUUUGGUAAGCAGAACUGGCGAUGCGGGAUGAACCGAACGCUGAGUUAAGGCGCCUAAAUCGACGCUCAUCAGACCCCACAAAAGGUGUUGGUUGAUCUAGACAGCAGGACGGUGGCCAUGGAAGUCGGAAUCCGCUAAGGAGUGUGUAACAACCCACCUGCCGAAUCAAGCAGCCCUGAAAAUGGAUGGCGCUUAAGCGUCGUGCCUAUACUCAGCCGUCAGAGUAAAUAGCGAAGCUCUGACGAGUAGGAGGGCGUGGGGGUCGUGGUGAAGCCUUUGGCGUGAGCCUGGGUGAAACGGCCUCUAGUGCAGAUCUUGGUGGUAGUAGCAAAUAUUCAAAUGAGAACUUUGAAGACCGAAGUGGAGAAAGGUUCCAUGUGAACAGCAGUUGGACAUGGGUUAGUCGAUCCUAAGAGAUAGGGAAACUCCGUUUCAAAGUGCCCAAUCCUGGGCCGUUUAUCGAAAGGGAAUCGGGUUAAUAUUCCCGAACCGGAACGCGGAUAUUCUGGGCCUUCUGGCUCAGAUUUGCGGUAACGCAACUGAACUCGGAGACGUCGGCAAGAGCCCUGGGAAGAGUUCUCUUUUCUUGUUAACGACCUGACACCAUGGAAUCUGAUUGCCAGGAGAUAUGGUCUGAUGGUCGGUAAAGCACCACACUUCUUGUGGUGUCCGGUGCGCUCUUGAAGGCCCUUGAAAAUCCGAGGGAAAGAUUGAUUUUCGCGUCCGUUCGUACUCAUAACCGCAGCAGGUCUCCUAGGUGAGCAGCCUCUGGUCGAUAGAA